rnacentral:rRNA from 1 species
AGAGUUUGAUCCUGGCUCAGAACUAACGCUGGCGGCGCGUCUUAAACAUGCAAGUCGAACGGUAGUCCUUGAGCCUGCUUAGGGAUGAGAGUGGCGAACGGGUGAGUAACACGUGGAUAAUCUGCCUCCGGGUUGGGGAUAACUGUCCGAAAGGAUAGCUAAUACCGAAUGAGAUGGUGAUUACAUAAGUAGUAGCCAUUAAAGGUGGGGACCGCAAGGCCUACUGCCUGGAGAUGAGUCCGCGGCUGAUUAGCUUGUUGGUGGGGUAACGGCCUACCAAGACGACGAUCAGUAGCCGGCCUGAGAGGGUGAACGGCCACAUUGGGACUGAGAUACGGCCCAGACUCCUACGGGAGGCAGCAGUUAAGAAUCUUGCACAAUGGGCGCAAGCCUGAUGCAGCGACGCCGCGUGAAUGAUGAAGGCCUUCGGGUUGUAAAGUUCAGUAAGCAGGGAAGAAUAAGCGAGAGGUAAUAUUUCUUGUGAUGACGGUACCUGCCUAAAGCCCCGGCUAACUACGUGCCAGCAGCCGCGGUAAUACGUAUGGGGCGAGCGUUGUUCGGAAUUAUUGGGCGUAAAGGGCGUCUAGGCGGGAAAUUAAGUUAGGUGUGAAAACUAUGGGCUCGACCCAUAAACUGCAUCUAAAACUGAUUUUCUUGAGUUCGGGAGAGGAGAGCGGAAUUCCAGGUGUAGCGGUGAAAUGCGUA